AUUAAACGCUGGCGGCAUGCCUUACACAUGCAAGUCGAACGGCAGCACGGGGGCAACCCUGGUGGCGAGUGGCGGACGGGUGAGUAAAGCAUCGGAACGUAUCCUGGAGUGGGGGAUAACGUAGCGAAAGUUACGCUAAUACCGCAUAUUCUGUGAGCAGGAAAGCAGGGGAUCGCAAGACCUUGCGCUCUGGGAGCGGCCGAUGUCGGAUUAGCUAGUUGGUGGGGUAAAGGCCUACCAAGGCGACGAUCCGUAGCGGGUCUGAGAGGAUGAUCCGCCACACUGGGACUGAGACACGGCCCAGACUCCUACGGGAGGCAGCAGUGGGGAAUUUUGGACAAUGGGCGGAAGCCUGAUCCAGCCAUGCCGCGUGAGUGAAGAAGGCCUC
rnacentral:rRNA from 1 species